UACGGAGGGUGCGAGCGUUGUCCGGAAUCACUGGGCGUAAAGGGCGCGUAGGUGGCGCGGGCAGUCAACGGUGAAAGUUCGGGGCUCAACCCUGAAUCGGCCGUCGAUACUCCCGGGCUGGAGCACUGUAGAGGCUAAUGGAAUUCCGGGUGUAGCGGUGGAAUGCGUAGAGAUCCGGAAGAACACCGGUGGCGAAGGCGGUUAGCUGGGCAGUUGCUGACACUGAGGCGCGACAGCGUGGGGGAGCAAACAGG
rnacentral:rRNA from 1 species